rnacentral:rRNA from 1 species
UACAGAGGGGGCGAGCGUUGUUCGGAAUUACUGGGCGUAAAGGGCGCGUAGGCGGCCCGCUAAGUCGAACGUGAAAUCCCCAGGCUCAACCUAGGAACUGCGUCCGAUACUGGCAGGCUUGAAUCCGGGAGAGGGAUGUGGAAUUCCAGGUGUAGCGGUGAAAUGCGUAGAUAUCUGGAGGAACACCGGUGGCGAAGGCGGCAUCCUGGACCGGUAUUGACGCUGAGGCGCGAAAGCUAGGGGAGCAAACGGG